rnacentral:tRNA from 1 species
GAGGGGAGAAACACAUAGGAGGUGUGACUGGCUUGAAACUAGUUUUAGGAGGUUCAAAUCCUUCCUCCCUUG